rfam:Triticum aestivum genome assembly, contig: Triticum_aestivum_CS42_TGACv1_scaffold_556060_7AL
ACAGUACUUCCUCCAUCCACAAAUACUUGUCGGGAAAAUGGAUGUAUCUAGACGUAUUUUAAUUUUAGAUACAUCUAUUUUUAUCCAUUUAUGCGACAAGUAAUUAUGUACGGAGGGAAUACAUG